CGCACGACCACACGCGAGAGCCGCCCGCGCGAGGGUGGCUUUCGGCCCCUAGGCGUCAGGCCUCCGGCAGCGCCAGCAGCGCGACCAGGGAGCAGGCGUGGCUACACGCCGCCUCACGGCGGUGGCCGGGAAUAUAUCAGCGCCGCUACCUCCUCUUCCGUCGCCCUCCUCCCACCUCUCCACCCUCCCCCGCCGCGCUCUGCGAGGAAGAGGAGCGGGGCCCCCAGGCCGCCUCCCGGUCUUCCCGCCCCAAGGCUGCGCGUCAGUGGGCCGACUGCCCGCGCCGGGGGCCACGGACGGCGUCUGGGCGCUGGCACGCCGGUCACGGAUGCUACCAAGGCAGCUGCCACCACAGCGACGGCUUCAGGGGUUCUUCUCGCUUUUUCUUUUUUUCUUCUUCUUUCCUUUUUUUUUUUUUUUUAAUUCUGAGCUCGCAGUGCUUGGGCUAGGCUGGCGAGAUCUCGCGAGAUGCUGCAGGGCGACUCAGCCGCUUCCCCUCAGGCGCGUGGUACCUGAGGCCCGGCCGCCGCUGCCGGCCGCCGCGGUUCCUACGGUGAUGCUGGGGGCUCUCCUGUGGGGCCCGCGGGCUGGUGCGUCUUCUGCAAUGCCUUCUCGGAGUUCUGGCUGGCCGCCACGCCACGCUCUCAUUCGUGGCCUGAACUUGAGGAGAGGCAGCUUCCCUCCUUGAGGCCUCUUAGUCUGACACUCAGGCAGCCAGGCAGUUAGAUUUGCAUAACUAGAAUCAGUUCCAGUCGUGAUGCAGAGGGUGUGUCCACAUUUCCGACGACUACACUUUUAUUUUAAAGACUGAUAUCUGAAGCUUCUUGGGAAGUCGGUGAAUCCUGCAUGCUGAAUUGAAUGUCUGGAGCUACAGCAGUGUGGCUGGGCCAAACCAUGGCUGUAUAACAGGUUGGUGUGUCUUGGCUCAACUGCAGUACUGGUCCAACAUGCCUCAAGCCCACUGUGCCUCAGGCCUGCACUCCGGCUCGUACAGGUUUUGCUCUGCUGCUCCACUAAUUCACUCUGAUGCCACUUCUUCACAGGGUCCAUUGGACUGGUGGCAUAGGUUUGCGACCAGGGAGCCAUGUUACCAGGGGUGUUUUACCACUGAGCUACAUACAUUCCAGUCCUUUUAUUUAUUUAUUUAUUUAUUUAUUGAGAUAUAGUGUCACUAAGUUGAAGAGAAUGACUUCAAACUUGAGAUCCUCCUGCUUCGACUUCCCUAGUCACUGGGAUUAUAAGUAUGUGUUACCACAACUGGCUGGUCCUUUUCAAUUUUAUUAUCCAAAGAUAGUUUCAUUUUCAGAUCUUUGCUAAUGAAGACAUACCUUUAAAAGUUUAUUAGCCAAGCUUAGUGGUACUCACUGUAGUCACAGCUAUUCAAAAGGCUAUCAUGGGAAGAUUGCUUGAGCCCAGGAGUUUGAGGCCAACCUGGGAAACAGAACUUGUCUCAAAAAUUAAAAAGUUUAUUAUUCAUUUAUAUAUCUUUAUUUCUAAAUUGUCUGAUGAUGUUUAUAGUAGACCUUUGCUGUAUCAUGGAAAGCUCACUUGUAUCCUGUCUUGUUUUGGUAAGAAUGUGCAAUUUUCUUUUUUUAGUUAUUGUUUUUUCAAUAGGAUGAAGAAUUACUUCUCUGUAACUUGCCUGUUCCAGCCAAAUUGUGAGCAUGAAAAAAUGAACCAAUCUGGCUCUUUUAAACAUUUUGAAUUUCAGGUGUUAGAAGCAAAGUCAGAAAUCAAGUCUGUUUGUUGGGACUGUUAGCUCCUUUUAUCUUGCUUCUUAUAUCACAAAGGAACUGCCUGCCAGGUUGAUGGUAAAUACAAAGGGCCUCCACUCAAUUUGGGACAACUCUAAAGGGCCAUUCCAGCAUAAGCACCUUAUGAGAAUGGAUGAGGCUUUAUUUGUAUCCUGUGCGUCUGCUUCUCCCCCUACCCAGUCCUACUCUUCCUCCUUUCCUUAGAGAUAUAUCUCCUGGGAACACUUGCUAGCAAAGUUUCUGUUCAUCAUUGCCUUCCUCAGUCUAUUUCCAAGGUACUGUCUAUUUAUUUAUUUAUUUAUUUAUUUAUUUAUUUUGUUUUUUUUUUAUUAGAAGUUUAUUAAAGGACAGCAGAAAAGACUUCUCCCAGAGGAAGAAGGGGACCCAAGAGGUGGAAUCCUGUCUAUUUAUUUUUAGUAACAACAUUCAGGAAAGACUACACAGUUGUCUUGAUACAAGGACCCUCUGAAACUACUUCUCUUAUCCUUUCUGCAUAAGGUUCUUCUUCCUUUUAGCUUUUCCAUAUUCUCCUAGUAAUUCACUGUUUUACUUAAACAUUUGGGUUCUUUGGCUUGUAAUCAAAGAUCAGUGUUAACACAAAAUCCUUUACCAUUUUUCUGGUGUUUUCUUUUUAACCAUUUUUAAGAAUAUCUUAUGUAUUACAAACAUAAACCUUACACUGAAAUGGUUUUCUCCAGUUUGUUAGUUGCAUUGUAAGUUUGUUCAUCAUAAUAUUGACAUGCAAUUAUUUAGAAAAUGCCAUAAACUAUCUAGGUAUUUUUCUUUAUUUUUCUUUAUGAUUCUUACUUUUCAUAGCAAUGCUUAGAGAGGCUUUUGUUAUCACAAGAUCAUAUAAGUAAAUAUCUAUGUAUUUUAUGCUUUUAUUUUUAUCCCCUAAUUUUUAUGGGAAAAAAAAAACGGAAGCCUUCAUUUGUUGUUGUUUUCAAAUCAGUGGGAAGAAGGAACUAGAGAGUAGAAAACAAGCAGCUUAUGUCUCUCUUUCCCUCCCUCUCUUUUUCUUUCUCACACACUCACACACUAACAGAUGUGCAAUGACAUUUUAAUCGUAUAUGCCAAAAGUAAGACAUUUGGGUAUGCAUACCAGAUUGGGAAAUAAAAUGUUUUGAUUGUUGUUACUGCUGUUAUUUUGGUGCUAAAGAUUGAACCCAGGGCUUUGGACAGAAAAUACAGCUUUCUACCUCAUAAUCCUGUGGCCAGCCAUAACCCAUAGAGUUCAGGAAGCCCCCAUGGUCAUGAGAACUGCCAGUGGGUAGAAACCUCUAUUUUAAAGGAUUAUAAAAUAUUUUAAAAUGAUAAUUAUGUUGAACAUGGAAUUAAAAAUGUACCUACAUAAGUUAAGGGAAAAUUAAUACAUAGCUAACAUUUUAUAAGAAUUUUCUCCUUACAAAAUUAGGUGUGUGUGUGUGUGUGUGUGUGUACACAAUAAUAAUUCUAAAAUUAUAUUCUACUCCACCAACACUACCAUAUUUUUUUAAGGAGAUUAUUUUAAUCCUCUUGAUAGUCUUAUACUUUUAAAAAUCUCUUGUUCUUUCUGUAUAGGCUACAUAGAUAGGAGUAAUGAUGAUAGGAUGUAUAAUAUGAUUGCUUAAGAGCAUUUAUAAUUUAUUAAAUAAAUUUAUCAUGAAAUGUAAUAUCCUUGAAAAAGAAUGACCCUUAUCUAAUUUAGGAAUAAAUGUUAAAGAUCUCAUAAUGAAAUAAGAAUUCGAAAUUCUAGGGGAUACCGCGUUACCACCUAUGGCCCCUUUCUCCCUCACGGGAGAAGUCUAUGUUACCUCUUUUUAAAUAAACUCUGCUUCAUA